rnacentral:rRNA from 1 species
GAUGAACGCUGGCGGCGUGCCUAAUACAUGCAAGUCGAGCGAACGGACGAGAAGCUUGCUCUUCUGAUGUUAGCGGCGGACGGGUGAGUAACACGUGGAUAACCUACCUAUAAGACUGGGAUAACUUCGGGAAACCGGAGCUAAUACCGGAUAAUAUUUUGAACCGCAUGGUUCAAAAGUGAAAGACGGUCUUGCUGUCACUUAUAGAUGGAUCCGCGCUGCAUUAGCUAGUUGGUAAGGUAACGGCUUACCAAGGCAACGAUGCUUAGCCGACCUGAGAGGGUGAUCGGCCACACUGGAACUGAGACACGGUCCAGACUCCUACGGGAGGCAGCAGUAGGGAAUCUUCCGCAAUGGGCGAAAGCCUGACGGAGCAACGCCGCGUGAGUGAUGAAGGUCUUCGGACCGUAAAACUCUGUUAUUAGGGAAGAACAUAUGUGUAAGUAACUGUGCACAUCUUGACGGUACCUAAUCAGAAAGCCACGGCUAACUACGUG